GACAGAGCGCGCCUGCGCUAACGAUUGAGCCGCGGGUUUCUAAUCGAGGAGAAAGCUGGAGAAAUACAGUAAAGAAACACACAAGGGAAGCCAAUUGUACAGAAGUUUCUAUCAAACUUGGGGAUUGUCUGCCGGCUGCAUAUGGCGUCCAUAUCUGCAGAUGCGGUGGAGGGAUAUACAGCUAUAACUUCUUUGAUAGAAAAGCUUAUGACAGAAACAAAUACACUUGCAAAAUACCAGAAACACACGGUGCAACACAAUGCAGCCUUGAGCCAGCUUACCAAGUCUUUUAAUCAGGCUCAGGCAAGACUGGAGAAAGUAGCAGCAGUGAAAUGUGGCAGUGAGCUUUUAAACCAAUAAUCCUUUGGAAUGCAGUGAAUACAUUUGUAUCAGGAAUAACCAUUCUGACUUCAGUGUAAAUGCAUAUUUUGUUAAUAAAUUAAGCAAUUUCAAUGUU